rnacentral:tRNA from 1 species
GCCUCGGUAGUUUAGCCCGGAUAAGAAUACCGGCCUCUCAAGCCGGGGAUCGCGGGUUCAAAUCCCGCCCGAGGCA